UUCGCUAUUCGGCCUCUUUGCGUACAUCCCGUUGUGCAUUUUUAGUACACAAAUAGGUUCGACCUGUUUGCGCUAUAGGUUUGCCGCCAUUUUGCAGAGUCCUAAUUGGCGGGGUUAGCCGCUUUGCUCCAACUCAUCUGCCUCUGUAUAGGCAGGCCACACAAAAGGCUUCGCGAAUUUAGCGCUACUCUAAAUUCGACUUUUUUUCCGACGAUAACGGAGCGGGGGAGCAGAGUCCAGUCGACUAAAAGCGGUGGAAGAAAGCAAACCCCAGAGUCGUCCAGGUUGACGAACUGUUUACUGUUAGCCAUCUCUGGGUAAUGGCUGGGUAGUGAAAACUAGUAUUUAACUAGAGUCUUCAGGUCCAAGUCGGCUCCACAGGCGAAAGGCGAAUUUUGCAGCAGCAGCAGCAGCAACCGAAGGGUACUGAAGGGUGGAAAUUGAGUUGCUCAGCGGUGCAGUACUAUCGAGUCGCCAGACGAGGCGAUCGAGUAGACUACUAGCUAUGAGGCCUGUUUGACUUUCUUGGCCAUUGCUUCUAUUGCCGGCACAGCUACUGCUGCUAUCAUAAGGGAGAGUAGCUAGACGUACCCAGUCAACAAUCAGGAACUGCAUUACGCAACCACGGGUACCCCUUUUAUCCCCCGGCGCGCGACCCAUGCAGCUGAUUCUAUUCUUUAUCUCUCUUGGCAACGGCGGUGUUUGGCUACUAGCCGAUAGCUCGUCUGCAAUCCACAAGGUGUACUCUGGCUAUUUCAUCUCGUUCACUGUCGGCUACCAUCUGUAGAGGCCAAUGGCUAAAAGGGUCUUGCUUCUGACCUACAAAUGUUGACACGACGCGUUGGAAGCGUGGGCGGACAGUGAAGUGGCUUCAAGUGAGUGACCGGUAUGCGGCUGCGAGGUCUGCGCGUCGCAGAUAACAGAACCGGACUCACUCGUAACAAUGCAACGGAACGCAAUAGAGGCAAUGUAGAGGAGCUAACAAAGGUUGCGGAUGGCCUGCAAGCAAAGAACAGGCCCUUACAGGCAGCUGAUGGCCCUGUGAACCGUCGGGGCCAAAUUCUGUGCAAGUUUUUGUUUUUUCGCCGACAGCGACGUUAUUUUAGCUCCAGCAGUGCCGCGAACGGUGCUGCUAACGAGCAGAAUACAUCGAGAAUAAUCAAAGCUAAUACUGUUCGACGAGGCUCACAGAUGGAUAGCUUGGAUCAUUCGGCUAAAAAUAUUUCUGGCGUCGUACGCGGCCCGCUUUACGGUAGAGAGAGGGCGCGUCGCUGUUCAUGUAGCUGGUUGUUUCGAUGCUGGUCAGGUUUUUUUCGUAAGCUCGGCGAAGUUUGUUCGUGUUCUUGCCGUAGACGUCGUCAAUAUGCAGAUGCUUUUGGACAAGACUCUUCGUAUAGCUCUGCUAUAUCUCCUGGUAUAUUACGAACAAUUGCAAGUUAUCAGUUAAAAGUCCAAGGCGCACCUACAAGUUCCCUUUCUUACGCCGCUUCUAAAGGUUUGCCAAGCCAAAGGGGUGGUCUCGUCAUUAUGGAACCACUCGACAAUUUUUACUUCUCUUACGAAACCUCAGUAGAAGGGCCGCACCUUGAAAACGAGUGCCAUCUUCGCCGCAAAUGCAAAGUUUGUACACGCGUGUUCCGCGAAACGCGAGAAUCGACCGUACCGUACGAAUGUCCGGAGCGGUGUCUUUUCUUUGCUGAAAGCACGAAGCUACCAGUUCUCGUACGUAAUAUAUAGCCUAUUUUACUUCGAGUGGGCCAACAUUAACCGGAAGAAAGCUGGUCUAAACCGACUAAGUAGGCCGUCAAGGAUACACCGAAUAAAAAUGCCGAAUGUCGCAAACGCCAGACGUCUGGUCAUGGUAUCAAAAAUUGAUAUCAUGCAAGACGAGUCGAUCUACGAAGAUGAAACGCGUGGGGAAGACGGCUGUAAGAGAUAAUCAAAAAGUAUAUUCUACUAAAUUACCAUGUGUCACAGAAAUUGGCCUACCUAUUGCGAUAACUUCCGAAACAUUUUCCCGAAAUGGCUAACUGCGAACAAUUUUAAGUUAGACGGCAUAGAAAGGAGCGACAAUCGAGCUUUUGAACAACGGCAAACAAGAAUAAAGUAACAACAAGUUUUCUCAAGACUCUGUGUAAGGAAGGAGUGCGAAAAUAUAACCGAACUACGUGUUGAUACUGCCGUAGUGGUAGUAGGCUUGAAAUCCAAAAAGACAACGGGAUCUUGCCUAUGCCCCUUGCACUUUGGUAAAACAACGGAAAAAUAGGGGCUGUAAUAGCGGAAGCGGCUUCACUUGUGCACCCUGAACGGGCUUGGCAAUGUAGGUGACUCCAUUAUGUAUAUUAUAAAUAGAUGCGGUGGUCCUACAAUAGCGAAUACCAUAGUCAUCAACUAACGGUGCUUUGUGUGUAGUCACUACGCCGACCAGAUCAAUGUAGUGGGGUUGAAGAAGAGCUAGGAUUUAUAAGGGAAAAGGCUGGAUAAAGGUGGUGGCGGUACAAGAAACUGGAGCCGGUCGCCAAUUUUGCUGCUGCUGCUGCUGCUGCUGUUACUGUUUUUCAGCCGGGGCAGUCGUUCAGAUAGACGAUCAAGACCGACCGGUUGCUUCCGCUGGUACUUCCGUUGGUUUACUAUGUAACAGGAUAAAGUAAGACCGAAGAGAAGUUGCACAGAGGCCGUGGUCCUGUUUGUGGUACGAGAAUAAGUGGAUCGGACCACAAACAGAUAGUAGUGAAUUCGAGCAGAACGCCGUCACACUUACGGGUACUGAGAACAUUGAUUCAGCAAGGACUGCCGAGACAGGGAGUACUGCUAGUUGGCUGCUUGGUCUCAUGGGAUCUAAAGCGAGGAUCGACUUUGCUGUUUCCGCCGCUUUUCUGCACGUUCGGCAUCGUAUGGCCCGUUUGUGCCUUGUGAUUGCCGGCCUACUCCACGUCGAUAGUUCACAACUCGGUCCUGUCAAAAGAAACUGGAAGAUUCUAUUCUAUACGAAGUUGUUAAAAAGACGGCGAGAGGAACGCAACAGUGGGUGUGGUGUGUGCAAAUGGAGACUUCAAAAUAGUACAGUAGCACGAUGGCAGGGUUGCGCCGCUGGUUUCCGAUGUGUCCAUUGAGCUGUUGGUUAUUAUAUCGACAAAUUCGGAAGAAAGUCGAAAGCGACAAGGAAAGACGAACCGAAUAAGGCGCGGCGGGAAAAAGAACAGCACGAUAAGGACCAAAAGUUUUAGCUGUCUUAUGCUUUUAGGGACGUGGCAGUGCUCCUCCAUUGUACACCUUCAGGGUAUCGCUACAUGAUAGAGCACGGCGACCAGCAACGGAGUGAGUUUGUCAAGCGGUCGCAGUCACAACGUAGAAGCUGACUCCUCCUCAAUUGCGCACUACGAGUGUUGCUAAGCGAUCGGACGCGAAGAAAAGACUUCUGCCGUACAAGCACGCAACCAAAAGUGCACGCCGAACGCGUGUAGUAUCCUGCGUGCACGUUUGCCUGUGUGCUACAUUACGCGCGAGUUACAUCAUUACGUCAUAGUUGCGUGGUUUUUCAGAAUUGCGUCUUCAUACAAUGUAAAUUGACCCGUGGUGGAAACGACGGGAUUUCACGCCUGGAGCGUAUAAAGAAUGUUAUUUCGACUUAACCGAUAGAGCGCUAUGGUUGCUAUGCCACAGUCUACUGCUUACGUCUUUGUUUUCCCAUUGCCAAUCGCAAAUACAGGCCGGUAAUUGACAUCGAGGACCUUCGAGCUCUUCUACAGCUAUUUAUGUGAGAGACGACUAUUUUCGAUAUUCAAAACAGCAUAAGCUUCAGCGAAACGAGAAAUGUUUGUCUUUAUUAAUAUAAGCGUUGGAUUCUUUCGCUUUGCUAAUACGCAUCCUUGGUAGAGAGGACAUAGUUCAUGGCCUGCCUAAGUUGGCUUAUGUCAACCUUGUGUAUAAGGACAAUUAAUUUACGUGUUAAUUUGUUUGGAAUCAAAAAAAUCCU